GUUACUAUGGAUUUGACAUUUUCAUUUUAUCAGUCAUUAUCUACUUUCAAUUUUGUUUAACGACAUUUUCUGCACCUCCAGGAGAAAUGGCUAUAAACCGAACUGUCCAAUACACCUUGGGUUUAAUUACUGGGGUACUGGUUCCUUUAUGCAUAAGUUUGACUAUUUCUUACUUUCUCCCAUACCUAAGACCUGCUCCACCAACAUCAUUAAUAAAUCAGAUACUUAAAAAGGUGUACAUUUUUUAAUCACGAAAUUUUGACAUGUGUUGUCAGUCGGAUUCCUUCAAGACUUUUUUUGAAGGACACUUUUACAACUACUAUUUUUACCUAUUUUAUGGGUUUACUGAUUGUAUGAAUUUAUAAAUUCAAUAAAAAUAAUUAAAAACGUACAA